rnacentral:rRNA from 1 species
GACGAACGCUGGCGGCGUGCUUAACACGUGCAAGUCGUACGGUAAGGCCCUUUCGGGGGUACACGAGUGGCGAACGGGUGAGUAACACGUGAGUAACCUGCCCACAACUUUGGGAUAACGCUAGGAAACUGGUGCUAAUACUGGAUAUGUGCUCCUGCUGCAUGGUGGGGGUUGGAAAGCUCCGGCGGUUGUGGAUGGACUCGCGGCCUAUCAGCUUGUUGGUGGGGUAGUGGCCUACCAAGGCGGCGACGGGUAGCCGGCCUGAGAGGGUGACCGGCCACAUUGGGACUGAGAUACGGCCCAGACUCCUACGGGAGGCAGCAGGGGGGAAUAUUGCACAAUGGGCGCAAGCCUGAUGCAGCAACGCCGCGUGCGGGAUGACGGCCUUCGGGUUGUAAACCGCUUUCAGCAGGGACGAAGCUUUUUGUGACGGUACCUGCAGAAGAAGCACCGGCUAACUACGUG